ensembl:lncRNA novel transcript
GAUGUAAACAAAAUCAUAAAUCCCAUUACCCUGCUAAAUACUAGGUCUGGGUUAGAAAGGGAGCAAAAGAGCUGCUUUUCAGGUUAAAAGAGAUCAUAUGAAACGGAGUGGCAAAUUCAAAUUCUCCUGAGGCAAAGGCAGUUAACACCAGUAUAUAAGGCCAGCCUGGUGGGGACCGAGGUGAGUGGGAAGCAAUGGCCUCAUCUGAAAGGGGCGUCAUUGGCUGCUGCCACACAGGAGUGUGGACUGCAAUCACCAGGUCUCCUGGACAUCUAGGACAUUCCAAAGUUUCAGGAUCAAGACGGGAUCUACAGCCAUGGGACUGAAUGGAAUCCCCUGGAGAGUAAAUGCAGAAAGAAAACUAAAGGUCCAAGAACAGAGGCCAAGCCCACUGUCACUGUCACAGGGUGGCUUCAGGCGAUCAUUCAAAUACAGGUUUACAAAAGAAGUGAUCCUUCCUAAAAAACCCACAGCCAAAGAGUCAGAAGGACCACUCAAGGAGGCAGCCCCUGCCCCCCCCCCGACACACACUCAAGCCAUUCACUUACCUCCCAGAAAGCAGAAUCUUGAGAAAUUUCAUCCUGAAGAACACACGUACAAUGUUCCUUUUUUCUGUCACCAUUUAUUUCAUGAUUUUACCUCAGCCGUGAACUUCACAGUCCUGUUCGUGACUGUUACAUUUCACUUCCUCCCCUCUGGGCCAAGCAGACAUUCCUGGGUGGCCACUGUUCAGCCUUAGAAGGUAUUCAUCAAUUUUAUAUGAUCACAUUUCAGCAUUUGAGGUUCUGCAAGAAGAGUUCUGUUGUUGACACCAUUGGGUCAACUGGAGACUCCACAGAGUUGCCACAGAGCUGCAGUAUGGAGCAUUGGUUUCUUUCUUGAGUUGUGCUAACAAAAUUAAAGAUACGAAUUUAACUGGUCUCGAAUGGACUGUAUGAGUUAGCACUUGCCACAAUACUACUGCAAAACAAAACACCUCACAAUCAGUGUCUGCAACAAUAAACAUGUAUUUCCAACUCUCA